GUGAAGAACUACUGUGCGUCAGCUGUGCGGCUUCUGGAGAGGCAACUGAGCCCGGCCCGUGGGUACCGAACGCUUUCACUGGCUGGCGGAGGGCUAAAGGAGACGGUGCCGCAGGCGAGCGGAAUUUACUCGAAGAAGGCUCGGACUAGGCCAUUGACCUAAUAAGUGUUCCAGACAGCCAGAGGAGGGCAUGGCCAACUGGAAAGAAAGCAAAGAAAGCUCUGCAGAGGAAUAGCGACGGUGGUCUUAUGCAAAGCAGAACACUGUGAGAACUUUAUCUGGUACAAAGUAUGAAACCUCUUAAGAGACUUCCUCUUAAGACAUGUGAAUCUGUUUCACAGGUAUCAUACUCCACUAAAACUUUCUGCAUGGCAUGAAGAUGACUCUAAGGAGUUGGCAUUGUUAAAAUUCCAAGAGAUACAGAUGGAGUUUGAAGAAACUGUUUGGUUUUGAAGGCAGCACGAGGCAAAUUUUUCUGCCUUUGCAGAGCUGUUGAAAGACAAGAAGUGUUAUAUUUGUCUAAGAAGAUAAGAAAACUAAAUUUACUGGGAAUUUCAGAAUUGUAUCCACUUGUGAAGCAUCAAGGAACAGUGUGAGUAAAACACUCAAAAAGCUGUUAUGACUCUGGAAGUGAUGGAGUUUUGUGAAUGGUGCUUGCUCUUAAUGGCAAAGAGUUGCAGAGGAGUGUGUCAGAAAUUUUGCAGUGCAAAAUGCGCAGAUUCGGUAAGAGUAAAGCUUCUUGCAGGGCAAAAAGCCCAGAAAUGCAAAACAAAAAUUAAAACACCAUAGGGAGAACAAGCCACCUAGCAAACAUGCUACAGCAAAAUGAGAGCAAGAUUAGAUACAGAUGAAAAUUAAACUGAUGUAUUUGACCUAGCAAGACUAAAUUUUUAAUUUUAAAAGUUUUUUCAAAAAAUAUUCUAAUACUAUACAAAAGCAUAAAUCUUUGUCUAAUAUGAUCAUCAUAUAAACAAAUUGUAUUCUGCAGUUAUGGAGACUUAAGCCUUCUUUGAGAGAUGUCUUUUUUCUCCCCUCUUCAGAAGGUAUGCAAGAGGAUUUAAGCUUAAAAUGAAGACUUAACACUAAGAUUUAUCAACUGCCAGCAUAUACCCAGCGUGAUGGAAGUUGGUUUUUAUUGCUCCUUUUCUCCAUUGUCCUGCCUUUUGUCUAGUAAUAUUCAAGGGCUGAUACUGCCUUGCAAUGACCUCACUACCUACCAGUUACCAAGAGAGAAGCCAAUGUUCCAAGAGCUGCAGAAUCGGCAUGGAGAGAAUUACUUAUUGCCAGAAGGAAUGCAUUGACUCAGCCUAUUUCCAUCACAGCACAUUUAAAGGGGAGAAGGAGGAAAAAGUAGUCAAUGAAAUAAAGUUUUGACUACACAGAGACUUCAUAAAAUGAUAAUGUAUGAAUAAACAUCUCAGCUUAUCUCGGUAUAUGAAGUUUUAUAGCAGCAUAGAACUGAUUGUACUAGCAAGGCUUAUUUCCAUAGCGAGAAGGAAGAAGGAUGGGGGAACAGCUGUGCAAAAAGUUCCUGACCCUGAGUAAGGACUAAUCCCAUCACCAAUUACUGAAUAUCGCUAUAAAGAAGGUGGGGGGGAACAAUCUGAACCCUAAUAUUAGUUAAUACUUUUGUUUGAUAGCAUAUAAUAAUUUCUAUCACUUUUCCUAUGUUUCAGUCAGUGCAAAAUACACAGUAUUUUAUGAACUAUAAAAAAUUCAUCACGUGUUUUAACAUCAUGCUGAAAUUAUGGCUAGGCAGUCUAUUCAAUUUAGUCCUAAUAACUAACUAUAACUGUCAUGUUCAACAAACAGCUAAAAGGUAUUAGAUUGUUCUUAAACACAGUAAAAUUCUGCCUCUGCCUGCUACUAAUAAAAACCUUAUUCUUUCUACCAACUAGAAUCUAAUGCAAAAUAGCCUGUGGCAAUAUGUAAUUCUUACUCAACUGCCACAUGGUCUUCCUAGAAAUUUUUUUAAAGCAUAUACAUGAACAGCAAAUUAAGCACAGUAAGGUCUCAUUAAAUAUGAGCACAAUUCCUAGAAAUUUACUGAGGCAGACCACUGGCCAGACUGCUUCAGUCCAUAAGUAUUCCACUUCAUUAUUUUUCACUGAAUUACUGUUUUUGUUAUGCCACACAAAAUGAAGAAAAGCUUCUUCCUUCAUAUUUUGAGGUUUUUUCAUCCUAAUGCACUCAGAUUUCAAUAUGCUACUGCACAUGACACUUUCUUCCCCCAUCAUUAUUCACACUUCUUGCAAGUCAGAGAGAUGGGAUGAUAUGGAAAGGAUUUUAAAUAUGCAUAUAUCAAAUUCCUUCCUUCUCAAUGGAGACUCCAGGAAAUAGACACUCAAUAGCAAAACAUUUCUGUGCACUGAAACACUGAACAGAGCUUAGGCAGUGCAAUUUGAGCAAUGCUGAGCAAACAUGCAGUUUGAGAUAAGCGUCCAGUGCAUGUUUAUCCACACCACUUGCUGCUCUUGAAGUGCUCUGUGUGCUGUGACAUUCCCUGCCACAACUGCUGCAUGCUGAACACAUGUCGUGACAUUUACUUCUGAUCAAUGGAACUGAACUACUUUGUUUCUUCAAAACUUACUCUUCCUCCUUUUACUCUGAACAUGCCAAGCAGUUGGAUCUUGGCACACAGACAGUCACGUUACUGAUAGUUUGAAUCUAGAGCUCCUCAAGGAAGUUUUGUAUUUAGCUCUUCUUAAAAGCAUCCAUGUGCUGAUAGUGCCACUAAGUACAAAAGCAUCACACAGAAUUCAAAAGCAGGGAGCUCCUGCAUGGAAGUCACCCUACAAUUUCUAGAGCUUUGUACAAUCUAUGUGGUACAGGACCCAAACAUGGAGAUUUCCCAUCACUAACACUUUAGACAAUACCUUAUCCUUGGGGAACACACAUAUUACCAUAUCUUCGAGUGUUUUAAGGUGAAAUAUUAACUAGCUUUCAUAUUUUAAAAAAAGUACUUUAUGCAGAAUAGCAUGGAAAAUCAGUUGUAAAUGAAGAUUCAAAUUGUUAAAAUUGCUAUUCAGUAGUCUGUCUUCAAAACCAAUUUGGAUUGUUCACCACAUUGCAGCUAAAAGUUAAAAUGCCGAUGUUUUCAUGUUUACAGCUGUACCUCUAACAGUUGUACCUCUAAACACAUCAUAUCUGUCUUCCCUCUCUUCUGUAAGCAAGCAAAUACAAUUUGGCUAUAAAACUGUAAGAGGAAUUGUCAUUUCAGAAACUUACUGGAUUCCUAGCUCAUUUUUGAAUGCCAGCAACCAUAGCAAGUUCAGUAUUGCAGCCACAGCAAAUGUGCAAGUAAAUUAUGGACCGCAAAUCUUUGACAAGGAGCAAAGUAGUGACCUCAGGUGGCAAGCCAGCAUCCUCGCAAAGCUCAUUUUGAUAAUUCUUCCUAUCACUGAAUAUCUGUAGACCAGCUGCCCAACUGCUUUGAGUGCUUUAUACUUUGAUAAGGCUGCCUAACAGGUAACAGUUGUGCAUUUGAACUACACAAAUGUCCUUUCAGCUGCAACUCCCACCUUCUGACUGUCUGCAAAAGGUGGAAGAAGAGGGCCAAGGUGCACAGAUGCUAGAGUAACUUAUACAAACAAUGGUAAAGUCACACUAACUUCUGUCUACUACAGUAUCCCACACCUGGGACUGACUGUUCACACAACCCUUACAGCUGCUCUGAGUCUGUACAAAGACAGAAACCUUGGAGUCUUUGGCUUGGUCUCUAUUCCAUAUUCUGUAUUUAACUGUACUCGGUAGCUUUAACACAUUGUUUUGAAAAUUUUAAGACAGCCAACUAUUUCUUCCCUUGAAAAUGUCACACAAGGUUAUUAAAUUCAAAAACUUGUUUUAAAAGAAAUGGUCAGGAAACAUUUAAACAACAGGAACUGGCAGUAUUGACAUAUAAAGAAACACUGAAUAUUUAAUUUUCAUUUGCUUUGGCUUCUUUAAGGUCACCAUUUUCAAGAGAUUUGUGAGAAUAGCAGCAUUUUCAUAUCAGCAGUUAACUUCUGGAGAAACUAGGAAAGCAGGAGUCCAGCAAUGGGCUAAUAUGUUUUAUGAGACACAAGUUCAUCCAAACCUUUUCUAGGAAGUAACUGACACUUAAAGUAAAUAAAAUUGCCAACUGGAUAUAUAAUCUAUAUGCCAAAAAAAAAAAGAAGGAAAGAAAUUGCAGAACUGCAGACAUGGGUUAAACUGAAAUUAGCACUUUCAGGUCAUGUUUCACUAGUUUAAAAAAAAAACCAAUAAACAUCAUCUAGGUGUUUUUUCAGAGCCUAGAAAGAAAACAGUUUCGGACAUGCCCAAAUACUGUAUUUAUAAUUCUUCAAAUUACUUCUACGUACACUUUUAGGAAACUAUGAAAGAAACCAGACUUUGAGUAUUUUGUGCACCAUAAAAAGAGAUUCACAAAAGUCUGAUUAAAAAUCAAGAUUACCAUCUCCAGUGUGGCAUGCAAUGUUUUGCUUUGUCCUGAGACUAGAAGACAGCCAAAUACCAUCACUUAACUCCGAAAUUUACACUGAAGUA